UACGUAGGGGGGCAAGCGUUGUCCGGAAUUUAUUGGGCGUAAAGAGCGUGUAGGCGGUCCGGUAAGUCAGCUGUGAAAGUCAAGGGCUCAACCCUUGAAAGCCGGUUGAUACUGUCGGGCUAGAGUCCGGAAGAGGCGAGUGGAAUUCCCGGUGUAGCGGUGAAAUGCGCAGAUAUCGGGAGGAACACCAAUGGCGAAGGCAGCUCGCUGGGACGGUACUGACGCUGAGACGCGAAAGCGUG
rnacentral:rRNA from 1 species